AGUUUGUGUUCCAAGGUAAGAUAACCUGAAAUGAAAAACUCAGGAUCCCUCACGAACAGCCUGACCCUGCUUUCAACCAGGAAGUUCAAGGGAGGCAGGACUUUACGGUCAAAACUGCAAAGCCGAAGCUCAAGACUGUAAGAAGAAAGUGAUCUUCAAAGAAAAGGAUUCACCCAAAUCGAAGAGGAUAUCGUUUCGCAUCAGGGACACUCGUCUCCACACCUCCUACCUCAAAGUCCUACGCACCUACCCUUCACGUCUCUCCAAAGCAACUGAAUUAAAGCGCCUACUGGCCUUGGCGGCGCAGGUCCCAAGAUUUUGACUGAUUGGUUGUACGACUAGAGUUGCUGGAGUUCAAGUAUUUUCAUUUUAACUAUUCAACUGAAAGCAGUGCGUUACAACAGAACACGGGUUCCAAAGAAUUUACUGAGAAGAAGCAAAGUAAUACUUGGGAGAACUAUAAUACACAGGCAUCUCAUGAAAAUCAUCCAACAUAUAGAAGAAUAUAUAGAAUAAAGCAAAAAUCAUCAGAAACUCCACCGUCUUGGAUGACCAUAGUUGAUAUUCUGAAUGGCUUCUGUUCCGAUUGAACCUUGACUGAUGUAGCACCUAUCACCAAAUUGCUGUUCAGGAAAUAUGUCCUAAAGAAACUCCCAACAGCAGCAAUACAUCAGAGUGGCACCUCUUUACACUGGUUCUUG